GGUGUUCGAUUCGAUGUUUUCGUUCGAAAACAGGCGGAUUUGUUGUUCGUAGAAUUCCAAGCGUCGUGCGCUGUGAAUCGUACGUGCCGUGUACGAUUCUUAUCUUCUGUUAAUGUCAACAGAAGAGAUGGAGCUCGCGUACGGAAAUUUAUUUAUUUAUUUUUGUUUUUCGAACGUAUGUAUUUAUUACUUUAGAUUAGAGUCUCGUGUAUAUAUUGGAAUAUCGGUAACGUUUCUCAGGUUAGUAACGUAUUGUACUGCGUAGUGAAACGUGCUUUGUUCUCGUGAUUAUUAGGAGAAACGAAUAAUAAAGUAUAUACGUGAUACGUGAGAGAUGUGUGAAUGGAACGUGUUAUAUUAGAGCACGUUGAUUAAUUUAAAUUAAUCAUUAAUUCACGGAUAACUUCGAUAUAUGAAGAGAGAAUCUUCGUCGAGCCUCUGCUAUUUUGUACAAUUGUUUAUCUUCUGUUGUUUAUCUACGAGGGGGAGGAGCCGAAUCUAUUUGAACUCGUUAAUAUUAAAUCAUCGUGGGCGACGAGAGUUGAGAGUUUCGGCCAGUUUAAGUUGGGGAUUAUUAUGAUCUCGAACUUUUUACACUUUUUGAAGCGAUGGAACGCGUGUAAAAGUGUGUGGGCGUGUAAACUGGCCGCGUAAAACUAUUAAUGCGGCGAGGUUGCGGCGACCUUGAGUCCUACCACCGCGAAUAUCGAGCUAUGAACGAUAAUCGUGGAUGGAGUUUUAAACGUGCGCAAUAUGGCAAUGGGUGCAGUUUGCUGAUAUAAUUUAACCCUGUGCAGAAUUUUUAUAUUAGAUAAAUAUUUCAAAUUUUGGAUAAUGUUAAUUGUCGAAAUAAUUUUUCGCCUCUUGUUUCACUGAAUUUUUAUAUUAGAUAUAAAUGUUUUACAUUUAUGUGAUAUAUAAUAUAAUAUAUUAAUAAUAUAGAGUGAGAAAUCUGAAAUGCGUAUGAUUAAAUAAUACUCUUUUUUUUUUUUUGGCGACAGGGAAGGAGAAACGUUGGAUAUUGCGCUUCGAAUGAAGAAAAUAAAAUAUCAAAAUGGGAAGUGGUCGGUGCUUAAAAAUAGCAAUUAUCAGCUGUUCCCUUUAAUAGAAAGAAUUAUCGAAUAAAGUGAGGAUUUUUAAGCACUUAGUUAGGAACGAUUAAUAAUCGACAAUGGGGAGGAUGCUCGACGAUUCGUUUCGUUCGGGAAACUUUAGCAAUUACUGAUAUUCUCGCGUUGGGCGGGAACGAGAAGGAGGAGAAAACAUUAAGAGUUUGAUAAAAACGAUCGCUACUUCCCCUUUCGAAAAAUGAAGAUCCCUCUCUUCAACGUCAACGAAAAUUACCAUUGCACGAAUUUUCAUCUAAAAAAAAAAACAAAAUCAAGAAAAAUUCUCCUUCUUUCUAAACAAGCGUCGUCCAUUUUAAUCCACCUCUGCUUAACGAACUUCUCUCGAAUUAGAAAACGCUUCCCGCCGUUAAUAUCCCCCGAAACCCAUACAAAUACGAAUUUUUCGCGAUCACCGCGGAGUUUACUUUCUUUCGACGAAUUAACGCGAAUUUCAUCCCAAGGCGGGGGUUGAAUUACGAGGGGGAGGUGAAAAUACGACGAAAAUCUUGUUUGCACGCCGCGUGGAGGAACGCCGUUUGUCCUACCCGCGCUCCACUCCUCUUAUUGUUAAUCUCCUUAAUGCACGCUCCACGCCUGGUGGAAACUGGCACAACCACCGGUUGGCGAGUGGCCGCCAUUUUCGUGUUUAUUAUUUAUCGUUGGUCCGCAGCGCUACCUAGGUCGCAAACAUCUGUGCAAACGCAGUAGGGGCAGGUAUGUGUUUAUUAAAUUCAGAAUUAGACGGGCCGGCUGACAUCUCGGAUUCCAGACUUCCCUGGAAACGGCGAUGUCACGCCACCUGCUGGUUCGGCUUCCGCCGAUUUCCAGCGUGGCGUGCGCCGCUUAUGCGCCACUCAUAAAGAUAUGUCAUCGAGUAAAGUAUAUCCGUUUGUCAUCCGAACGAGUCGUGUGCGGAUUUCGAUUCCCCGCCCCGAGGGGAGAAUCUUUUUUAAAUUCGUUUCUAAAAUGGUUCUUAAUUUUGAUCUUGAAAAAUGAUGGCAAUGGAAAGUUUUAAUAAAUGAUAAUACCUUUCGUUUUUGGAGGGAUACGAUUUUUGUAUUUCGCGUUUCGUUUCUUUUUCUUUUAUUUUCGUAUUUAAAGGUAGAUUGAUGGGAUAAGAGGAAUAUAAAAAUAGAAAAUAUAAAAAUUUGUAAGAAUUGUCGGUUGGAUUAAUCGAUGCCCUUCGUUGAAGCCAGAUUUUCCUUUUGUAAAUUUUCGAAACUCGUCUCGGAGGGGGAAUUUUGAUGUAGCGGUAAUUAACGUAGAUGUAAUUUAUUUUCGUGGGGGAGGGGAGGAAGGAACGUACUCUGCGUCUGCUCGCUUUGUCCGGGCAUCAAACUUUUUCUUUCUCCCGAGCCAAUGGAGGGGAGGGGGAGGAGAGGGAGCGGAGAAAAUAAAGGUUGCGGAAGAACGACAAUCGGAAGCCUUCAGAGCUCCCUCGUCUCGUCUCCUGAAAUAUCGCAUAAUACGAAACACGAAUCAAAACGUUUAUCGCAGUAUCGCGGCUCUUAUCCUCUUUAUUGUCGAACAAUUUACGAUUUUAUCGAAAGUUUUCCCUCCUCCCUCCAUAAAAAUCAUCGCGUUGAAGUCUAAUCAACGUAAUUUUCUUGCAUCUUAAAUCCUUUUGAUGGAAAUUCUACGUUUGAAUAAUGAAUAAUUUUGAAAAUUCUUCGAGUUCAAAAGUUUCGAGAAUUCCGAUACGAAUCGGUGGAGAAACGAUAUAAAAUAAUAUUUCAAAAAAAAAGAAAAACCAAACUCGUCAAAAUUCGAAGGAAGAAUCAUCUGUUUAUCUGUCAACAGAGGUUGAUCCCCCCCUCCCCCUGUUAAAUUUUUAUUCUCUCUCCUUCUCGCUCACUUUCUUCAAGAUCUUCAACCACGUUCCCAAUUAAUCGUAUCUCGAGGCGAUGCCGAGCUUCCCAAGUCUCGUUGCGUGCCACUUUUCUUUUUUUCUUUUCCACCCGGAUUAACUUAACCCUUGCUCCCCUCCAUCCACCCCCUCCCCCCGAUCGAGCAUCGAGCAAAGCAGGGGAACCCCCUUUCAUCUCCGGUCCGCCAGCUCCUCUCUCCGUCCCCCGCUUCCUUUGCCUGUCCACGUAGCCGGGGAUGAAGAGUUCCGCUGUUGCUUAUUUUCCUGCAGCCUCUCAAAUUAUAUGUCCAACUUAUUUUCUCGCUCGACUCGCCCCGGGGAUUUCUGCGAAUCUCUUCCACCCGAACAUUCCGUGACGUAGACGACGCACAGAGAGAGAAAGAGAGAGAGAGAAGGAGGGGGCGGAGGACUUUAUUAAACCCCAAAAGAACGAAGCACGACGUCGUUCGAUUUCCGAAGCACGCGAUUCCGUUUGAUGUGGAACAAACCCCCUCCUUCCCAGCUAUCGCAACUUUCCACGAUUAAAGAGGUGUGUGUGUGUGUGUGCGUGUGUAUACGUGUGUGUCUGUCGCGCGCUCCGAUACCUGCUCCUUCCACGUUCACCUUCCAAGGGGCUACGCGCGCUUUUUGCCCCUUUGGAAAAAAAAAAGGCGCGAGAAGAAGUAAUUGCCUCGCCACCGUCACCGCCAUCAACCAGCGGGGGCCCCCUCCCUCUCUCUCUCUCUCUCUCUUUCUCGUUCGUUCUCGAUAUCGAAGGCUCGAGAUGCAGAAACGCCUUUGGAAAUCAAAUCGAAUUACCCUGUUCUUUUGGGACUUAAUAAAGUCUUCUUCCCUUACCUUUGAACCGAAAGGAGACAUUUUCUCCUGGUUUCUUUCUCUCCUCGCCGUGUCUCCCACAGCCCUCCCGACCGAAUGCAAUUAUCGACGGUGUUAUCUCGAGCCUCGAUAAAUUUAUAUACGACGAUCUCUCUUCUUGUUCCUCGAUUUUGAUUCCCUUCUUCUCUUUUUCUUUAUUUCGUCCCUUCUUCUUCUUCUUCUUCUUUCGUUUGAUCUCUUCUUUUUGCCCCUCGGGGAUGCACGUUUAAUUCGUGUCAAUUAGAUCGAGGUG